UUCGAUAAAAAUAGGAUUUCGUGUUAUGAAAAGAGAAGGCACUAAAAGUAACUCAUUCUGUAUACAGUUCUUUUUAGCUUUCAAAUUUCAUCAACUUCUUUUAAUCUACACCAGUAAAAUUCCAAGCCGACAGCGUAAGGCAGACGACGUGUACAUAGAACGUGCCACGUGUAUCACACCUUACACAGCAAUCUGACCGUUAAUUUUUCCCGACCAAUCCACGUCAUCGUCACAACCGCCGUUGGAUCCACGUACUAUAAUGGAUAUGAUUAAUUGUUUAGAGGUCUCACAUAUAAAUUUAAUACUAGCUGAAACGGUAAAUAAUAAUAAAAAUAGUUGUUGGC